CCUUACAGCUUCCCUCGGCUAGGGGAGGGAGUACACCAACCCCUUGUGUUUCCUGGGUGAGGCAGUGCCCCACCCUGCUUCACCUCACCUUCCAUGGGCUGCACCCACUGUCUAACCAGUCCCAAUGAGACGAGCUGGGUAUCUCAGUUGGAAAUGCAGAAAUCACCCACCUCCUGCAUUGAUCUCGCUAGGAGCUGCAGACCAGAGCUGUUCCUACUCAGCCAUUUUGCUGAUGCCUGUCCUUGAGAGAAUUGCUUUCCAGUUUUUGUAGGUCAAGAAUUCAGGCACAGUUCAUCUAGGUGGGUCCUCUGCCUCAGAGUCUUCAUGAGACUGUUAUUACGGUGUCAGCCCAGGCUGCAGUCAUCUUAACAUUCAACUGAAGUAGCAUCCACUUCCAAUUUCACUCCAUGGUUGCUAGCAUGAUACAGUUUCUCACAAGCUACUGGACUGAGAACCUCACUUUGUUGCUGGCUGUUUGCAAGAGGCUUUCCUGACUCAUCAACAAAGUAUAUGGUCAACGUUUUAUGUGUUCCCCAAUUUGAAAGGUCAUCUUGUGGACAUGGGGGUCAUGCAGUCCUGUGACAAGAGAGAAACAAUAGCCUCACCUCCCUGACACCCCAAGAAGCUUUGCCAUUUUCUAACCCACCAGUGGUCGCUAUCUUAUAGUAAAUUUGUAUGAGUCUUUCCCAAAUGGAAUAAAGCACUGUCUUAAGCUUGUGGAAAAAUCAAACAACU
rnacentral:lncRNA from 10 species